AUUGAACGCUGGCGGAAUGCUUUACACAUGCAAGUCGAACGGCAGCACGGGAGCUUGCUCUUGGUGGCGAGUGGCGAACGGGUGAGUAAUACAUCGGAACGUACCCAGUUGUGGGGGAUAACACAUCGAAAGAUGUGCUAAUACCGCAUACGACCUGAGGGUGAAAGGGGGGGAUCGCAAGACCUCUCGCAGUUGGAGCGGCCGAUGUCGGAUUAGCUAGUUGGUAGGGUAAAGGCCUACCAAGGCGACGAUCCGUAGCUGGUCUGAGAGGACGACCAGCCACACUGGGACUGAGAAACGGCCCAGACUCCUACGGGAGGCAGCAGUGGGGAAUUUUGGACAAUGGGGGCAACCCUGAUCCAGCCAUUCCGCGUGAGUGAAGAAGGCCUUCGGGUUGUAAAGCUCUUUCGGCAGGAACGAAAAGGUGGGUCCUAAUACGAUCUGCUCAUGACGGUACCUGAAGAAGAAGCACCGGCUAACUACGUGCCAGCAGCCGCAGUAAGAC
rnacentral:rRNA from 1 species